rnacentral:rRNA from 1 species
CUGAUGCGUUGUUGGGUAGGGGAGCGUUCUGUAAGCCUGCGAAGGUGUGCUGUGAGGCAUGCUGGAGGUAUCAGAAGUGCGAAUGCUGACAUAAGUAACGAUAAAGCGGGUGAAAAGCCCGCUCGCCGGAAGACCAAGGGUUCCUGUCCAACGUUAAUCGGGGCAGGGUGAGUCGACCCCUAAGGCGAGGCCGAAAGGCGUAGUCGAUGGGAAACAGGUUAAUAUUCCUGUACUUGGUGUUACUGCGAAGGGGGGACGGAGAAGGCUAUGUUGGCCGGGCGACGGUUGUCCCGGUUUAAGCGUGUAGGCUGGUUUUCCAGGCAAAUCCGGAAAAUCAAGGCUGAGGCGUGAUGACGAGGCACUACGGUGCUGAAGCAACAAAUGCCCUGCUUCCAGGAAAAGCCUCUAAGCAUCAGGUAACAUCAAAUCGUACCCCAAACCGACACAGGUGGUCAGGUAGAGAAUACCAAGGCGCUUGAGAGAACUCGGGUGAAGGAACUAGGCAAAAUGGUGCCGUAACUUCGGGAGAAGGCACGCUGAUAUGUAGGUGAGGUCCCUCGCGGAUGGAGCUGAAAUCAGUCGAAGAUACCAGCUGGCUGCAACUGUUUAUUAAAAACACAGCACUGUGCAAACACGAAAGUGGACGUAUACGGUGUGACGCCUGCCCGGUGCCGGAAGGUUAAUUGAUGGGGUCAGCGCAAGCGAAGCUCUUGAUCGAAGCCCCGGUAAACGGCGGCCGUAACUAUAACGGUCCUAAGGUAGCGAAAUUCCUUGUCGGGUAAGUUCCGACCUGCACGAAUGGCGUAAUGAUGGCCAGGCUGUCUCCACCCGAGACUCAGUGAAAUUGAACUCGCUGUGAAGAUGCAGUGUACCCGCGGCAAGACGGAAAGACCCCGUGAACCUUUACUAUAGCUUGACACUGAACAUUGAGCCUUGAUGUGUAGGAUAGGUGGGAGGCUUUGAAGUGUGGACGCCAGUCUGCAUGGAGCCGACCUUGAAAUACCACCCUUUAAUGUUUGAUGUUCUAACGUUGACCCGUAAUCCGGGUUGCGGACAGUGUCUGGUGGGUAGUUUGACUGGGGCGGUCUCCUCCUAAAGAGUAACGGAGGAGCACGAAGGUUGGCUAAUCCUGGUCGGACAUCAGGAGGUUAGUGCAAUGGCAUAAGCCAGCUUGACUGCGAGCGUGACGGCGCGAGCAGGUGCGAAAGCAGGUCAUAGUGAUCCGGUGGUUCUGAAUGGAAGGGCCAUCGCUCAACGGAUAAAAGGUACUCCGGGGAUAACAGGCUGAUACCGCCCAAGAGUUCAUAUCGACGGCGGUGUUUGGCACCUCGAUGUCGGCUCAUCACAUCCUGGGGCUGAAGUAGGUCCCAAGGGUAUGGCUGUUCGCCAUUUAAAGUGGUACGCGAGCUGGGUUUAGAACGUCGUGAGACAGUUCGGUCCCUAUCUGCCGUGGGCGCUGGAGAACUGAGGGGGGCUGCUCCUAGUACGAGAGGACCGGAGUGGACGCAUCACUGGUGUUCGGGUUGUCAUGCCAAUGGCACUGCCCGGUAGCUAAAUGCGGAAGAGAUAAGUGCUGAAAGCAUCUAA